rnacentral:rRNA from 1 species
GACGAACGCUGGCGGCGUGCUUAACACAUGCAAGUCGAGCGGUAAGGCCCUUUCGGGGGUACACGAGCGGCGAACGGGUGAGUAACACGUGGGUGACCUGCCCUUAGCUCUGGGAUAAGCCUGGGAAACUGGGUCUAAUACCGGAUAUGACUCCAUGACGCAUGUUGUGGGGUGGAAAGCCUUGUGCGGCUAGGGAUGGGCCCGCGGCCUAUCAGCUUGUUGGUGGGGUGAUGGCCUACCAAGGCGACGACGGGUAGCCGGCCUGAGAGGGCGACCGGCCACACUGGGGACUGAGAUACGGCCCAGACUCCUACCGGGAGGCAGCAGUGGGGAAGUCUUGCGCAAUGGGCGAAAGCCUGACGCAGCGACGCCGCGUGAGGGAUGACGGCCUCGG